UUUUCCCAUGGAUUUUAUAAGGGGUGAUCUUUAAAAAAAAUAUUUCAACUUUUAGUCAUUACUCUAAUCAGUUACAGAUCUGCAAUAAUCUGACCAUUGCAUGGAAUAUUUAAUUCAAUUUUAGGUGAAAAAGCUCACGUUUUACUUCUGGAUGUUUCUUUUUCUGGUCUUUCAACUUAUCUCUUUGGGUCUCCGAUUUCUUUGUUUUUCUGGUUGGUUUUGGUUUCGGAUAUCCAUACAAAUUAUCAACUUUGCCUGUUACCUCAACAAAACCAAACGGAUCUGUUUUUCCUUCCAUUAAUCAUAAUCUGGUUACAUUUUGAUUGGAAUGAAUCUUGAAUUUGAAUCGGUCUAUGUAGACAGUUAUCUUUUGAUUACAAAAUUGAUUCACCUUUUAAUUUAAGAAUUUAGCUCAAUCAAUUAAAAGUCAAUUUGAAAAUCAUUGAACCUUGGUUGGCGUAACAAUAAACACUUUGACUGGAUUCUCGUGUUGGACUCUGUUGGAAACCGAUUGCACGCAAAAACCAUGGACUUGAUCAAUCAGAUCAAGUUUUAAGCAAAUAAGACGAUUAUCAUAAUCAACAUCAUCUUCUUCAUUUUCAUGUUCAUCUUUUUCAUUCACACGCAAACAGGAUCCAAAUGGUAUCCUCUAUUUAUCAUCAUCAUCACCAAUCAAAUCAUCUUCACUCUCAAUGAUCAAUGUUUGGACCGUUAAUCCUGUUCUGCAGUAAAAUCCAUUUCGAAUGGCGAAAGAUAAUUAAAUGGAUGAAAUUGCAAGUAAUCCAGAAGCCACCUGAUUGACCGUCAAGUGUAAAUUAACAUGGCCUUCCAUUGAGACUAACCUGUCAAAAAGAAAAGUUAAUCAACUUUGAUGGUUUACUUGAUUAAUUAAUUUAGCCUGAUUCCACCCAAUAACCAGUAAUUUGGUAGAUUGAAAUAACCAAAUUGUUCAACAAUUAGCCUCACCAGUUGAUUCACUUAGGUUUCAGCCGUUGAACGCUUUUAAUUGUCAUUUAAUUAUUUUUCACCUUUAAUCGUUGAUUCCAAGUCAGUCAACUUGGAAUCGUGAACAAACAGAUGAAAUUGCAGUGUAUUCAUCAAUGUAUUUGUGUAUUAACUUCGGGCGUUUCAAUUUACUAUUUGUGUGUCAGUAAAACACAAAUACUCGACCGAUUACGAUUCUUAAUCAUCAUCUACCAAUAUUGAUUAACUGUUGGUCCAUUUGAAUAGUUGAUUACAAAGUAUAACUUUCAUUUUGGGCAAUUUGUUUACAAUUAAGGGUCUUUUAAUCUACCCUCACAAUAAAGCAUAUUGUAUAUGAUUAACAAACAAUUUAACCUAAUAUUUACAUACUUGUAUGAAAAGGACAGACAAAAAAAGGUAAAAAACAUGAUAAAAGUUGCCAUAAAAUGGUUGAUUAUCAUAUUACUUUAGAUUGAUUUAAGGUUGAAAUCAUGUCAAAUCAAUAAAUUACACGUUUCAUCAAUACCAAAGAUUAACCUUUUCAAUUCAAUUACACCAACCAUUAAUGAACAACAAAAAAGAUGACAGAUUCAAGAUUUUAUCAAAAAGAUGGUUUGAUUUGUUAGCAUUAAUCGUCUAUUCAAAAUUAGACAUUUCUUUGGGUGAAUCAACUCUUCAAUCUGAUUUCAAUAGAUUACCAUGAAAAAUAUUGUAAAUGUUUCCAAUUGUUCAAAUCACUUUUGUACUCACCAAAUCAAUGUAACCACAAUAAUGAACAUUUGUUGUUCAAUUGCUGGCCUCACGAUAUAAACAAGUAAAGAUAUUUAUUUUUAGG